AUUGAACGCUGGCGGCAGGCCUAACACAUGCAAGUCGAGCGAGCGGCGGACGGGUGAGUAAUGUCUGGGAAACUGCCUGAUGGCGUGGGAUAACUACUGGACACGGUAGCUAAUACCGCAUACCAUCAGAUGUGCCCAGUGGGGAGUGGCUAGUCGGUGGGGUAACGGUUCACCUAGGCGACGAUCCCUAGCUGGUCUGAGAGGAUGACCAGCAACCCUGGACAUGUGAUGCGGGCCAGCGUGCUACGGGAGGCACACGGGGGGAAUAUUGGCCAAUCGGCGCAAGCCUGAUGCAGCCAUGCCGCGUGUGUGAAGAAGGCCUCCGGGUUGUAAAGCACUUUCAGCGGGGAGGCGUUACCCGCAGAAGAAGCACCGGCUAACUCCGUGCCAGCAGCCGCGGUAAUAC
rnacentral:rRNA from 1 species